GAUUUGACUGCUGAACGGAUGAUCUGUACGGGUUGCCGUAGCACUCCUCCUGACUGCUGGAAAGAUGGCGGCAGCGCACACUCGGGCGAGCCCCAAUUCUGCAGGCGGAAAAAAAUCUUAACAGAAAGACACCUUUCGCCCAGGUUUUGCAAAAAGAAAACGUGCAAACAACUAUUAAACUUGCAUGGUCAUGGGUGGUCUCAUGCACCACUAGAACCGAGCAUUCCUCGACCUGCUAUGGAGCCUCCGGAUAAUAGCGAUCCUAGCAGGCAGGGCAAUUCCUCAAAAGAUGAUUCGGUGCAUCAGAGCUUCGAGGUGGAAGACUUUUGGUACAAGCCCAGCGAGGAAGAGGAAGCUCUGUACGGCACAUCACCCCCCUACACCCCCCGGCAGAUGAAACGUAUGUCGGGGAAACACCAGAAGAACAGCCAGGCGAGGUCAGCUGGACGCUCCCCCGUCGGACACUCUCCUAACAAGAUAGACAAUCAGCCAGCCCCCUCCAGUCCAUCCCAGCCCCAGAGAGAGAGUGAGCCUAACCCCUAUAGGCCUAGAGAGGUGGCUGAGAGAGACCGAGAGAAGGACCCCCCAGAGGCUAAGCAACAUAACUACAAGUUGGGUAAGAAACAGACCGACCCUUCUGAGGGGAUCCAACUAAACGUAAACAAGCAAGUCAACAAAGCAACCGAGGAGCACCAACACAACUAUAAGCAGGGUCAAAAACAACGCGCCACCCUGCGUUCCAGUGAGAGAGACCACAAGAAGACCUUUGAAGGUUCCUUCAUGCUGGACCCGCUCUCCAAGACCUCCAGCCCCUUCGGUGGAGGCUCAGCCCUCAACAUGGACCCCAGGAAACCCUACCUAUCGCUGGGGUGCGGCAGCGGCAAGCUCCCUGUCACUAUCCCCCACCCCAUGGCCCACCGCACCCACCGCCAGACUUCAAGGACAGACUGCCCUGCAGAUAGACUCAAGUUCUUUGAGACGCUGAGGUUGUUAUUGAAGCUGACUUCCAUGUCGUCCAAGAAGAAGGAGAAGGAGCAGCGCGGUCUGGAGAACUCAGCCUUCAUGGGCCAGAACAACGAGGUGGUGUGGCUGGAGCUCCAGGCGUGGCACGCGAGACGCUCCGUCAACGACCAGGAUCUGUUCCUGUUCACGGCUCGACAAGCAAUCCCAGACAUCAUCAACAAGGUGCUCCACUUUAAGGUCAACUACCACAGCCUGAGCCCCAGCACCAUGGGCCUGGGACAACUGACCCUGGGGGUGUGUGUAGGACGACCAGGUAUGGUUGGAUCAGGGGCAUCUCCCGGCCAGGGAGCCCAGAGGACACUAGUGUUAACAGAGCCAGGCUGUGGAGGCCUAGGCCAGGGUCCCAAACAGAGGACUCCAACCCAGGCCUCAGAGACUGUUUCUGGGGAGGAGAGGGACUCUAACCAGCCUGCUGCUGUUGGCGCUUCAGAGAUGAACCAAAAUCACUUUGCUUCAGUCGACCCAUGGGGCUUCAGCGCCUGCCCCUCGGCAGUAGACGCAGCGGCGCCCCUGGGCUCCGGGGCGGGGUGCAGGGAGCACCUCCAGCGCCAGCGGCUGGCCUUCGAGCAGGUUAAACGGGUGAUGGAGCUGCUGGAGUCGGUGGAGGCUUUGUACCCUUCCCUGCAGACCCUCCAGAAGGACUAUGAAAAGUACGCAGCCAGGGACUUCCAGGGCAGGGUGCAGGCACUCUGUCUCUGGCUCAACAUCACACAGGAUCUGAACCAGAAACUUCGUGUUAUGGCGACUGUCCUCGGCCUCAGGGACCUUUCCCGUAUCGGCUGGCCCGUCUUCGAGAUCCCCUCGCCACGCUGUUCCCGUGGCAAUGACGAGGAAGACGAGGAUGAAGACGAGGAGAAUGACUCCACGGCAACCUUCACUGCCGGUGACAGCGACGGAGAGGACAGUGACCUAGCGGGUGAGGAGGGGGAAACUGGUGAGCCCAGAGGGGGUGAAACGACAGCUGAGCCGGGAGAAGGUGAACUCUCCCCUUGUUUGACUCCUAAAUUCGCUCGGUUACUACUAUCUGAGGAUGAGACAGGGACUAUGGAGGUGGUAUCGGGGGGCACAGGGAUAGGUGGGAUGAACUGCCCUACAGCCAUCUUCAGACCCUUCGUAGAUAAGGCCUUGAAACAGAUGGGGCUGAGGAAACUGAUCCUGAGACUACACAAGCUGAUGGACCCCUCCCUCCAGAGGUCCCGGGCAGCCCUGCUCAGCCACACGCCUGCACAGGAGUUCACGGACUUCCCAGACCCCAUGCUGUACAGUGACUACCUACCGGAGUUGUCCCGCCACCUGUCCUCCUGUGGCGCUCCCGGGGGCCCGGAGCUGGGGGCAGACCAGGUUUCCUGGGAGGAGCUGUUGGACAUGGAUCUACCCUCGUUCCGACCUGCCUUCUUGGUCCUGUGUCGCGUCCUGCUGAACGUGAUACACGAGUGCCUUAAGCUGAGACUGGAACAGAGACCUGCAGGGGAGCCUUCACUGCUCAGCAUCAAACAGUUGGUGCGUGAAUGUAAGGAGGUGUUGAAAGGUGGUCUCCUGAUGAAACAGUAUUACCAGUACAUGCUGAGGGGGGUGGUCACAGACCCCCAGGGACUCCAGACCAAUGUCAACAUAGACGAAUUCGAGGAGGACCUCCACAAAAUGCUGGUGGUGUACUUUGACUACAUGCACAGCUGGAUCCAGAUGCUGCAGCAGCUUCCCCAGGCCUCACACAGCCUGAAGAACCUUCUAGAGGAGGAGUGGAACUUCACCAAAGUCAUCACUCCCUACAUUAGAGGAGGGGAGGCUCAGUCUGGGAAACUCUUCUGUGACAUUGCUGGGAUGCUGCUCAAGUCCACAGGGGACUUCCUGGACACAGGCCUGCAGAAGAGUGGUGAUGAAUUCUGGGAAAGUGCCGACGACAGUACAGUCUCAGAUGAGAUCCGCCGGUCGGUAAUCGAGACGAGCCGGUCACUUAAGGAGCUGUUCCACGAGGCUAGAGAGAGGGCAUCCAAAGCUCUGGGAUUUGCCAAAAUGCUCCGUAAGGACCUGGAGAUUGCUGCUGAUUUCAGCAUUACCAGUGGGGUGCCAUGCCUCCUGGAGGCCCUCAAGGAGAGAAAUUAUGUCAAGGUCCAGAUCCCAGGGCUGGAGGAGCUGGAGGUGUUUGUCCCAUGUGCCCUGAUGCACCAGCGUGACCUCAUCCUGCAGCUUCUAAACGCAGCAGCCGGUAAGGAUUGCAGUAAGGAGCCCGACGAGAUGAUGGCAGAGGACGAGGCCUACCUGCUGAUGAGCAAGCAUGGAGCAGGGGACCCGCCUGGGGGGGCAGGCCAGGCCGGGGUUCAGUGGCACUGGGAUGGGAAGCUGGUCAAACUGGUGCCUCAGAUGGAGACUGUGGACACGCUACGGGCCAUGAAGGUGGAGAACCUGCUCCUGAUAGUGAUGCAGUCAGCCCACCUUGUGGCCCAGCGUAAGGCCUUCCAGCAAAGUAUGGAUGAGCUACUCACCCUAAGCAGGGAGCAAACCUCCAGCCAGCCCCUCAUCGCCCGCUCCCUGGAGCAACUCAAGAAUGAAGCCUUACAGCUCUGUAGAAAGAUCAACACGGCCAUCGACCGGGUGGAGUACAUGUUCACGUCAGAGUUUGAGGCCGAAGUGGAGGAGUCUGAGUCAGCCACGCUGCAGCAGUACUACAGAGAGGCCAUGAUCCAGGGAUACAACUUCGCCUUCGAGUACCACAAGGAGGUGGUGCGUCUGAUGUCGGGUGAGUUCCGUCAGCGGAUUGGGGAAUGCUAUAUCGCCUUCGCCAGGAAGUGGAUGAACUAUGUCCUCACCAAGUGUGAAAGUGGCCGGGGUACCAGACCCCGCUGGGCCACUCAAGGCUUUGAUUUCCUCCAAGCCAUCGAACCUGCCUUCAUCUCUGCUUUACCAGAGGACGACUUCCUGAAUUUGCAAGCUCUGAUGAAUGAGUGCAUUGGUCAUGUGAUCGGGAAGCCUCACAGCCCAGUCAGUGGCUUGUACCUAGCCCCCAGGAACAGUCCUCGGCCAGUGAAGGUCCCUCGUUGCCAUAGCGACCCCCCCAACCCCCACCUGUUCAUCCCCAAUGCAGAGGGCUUCAGCUCUAGGAGUCUCCCCUGCGACCUACGGACCCAGCUGUGUCUACCUACCGGCCCCCGCCCAGUCCCCGCCCCUCAGACCCCAGGCCCCGCCCCCGGGGAACACAGCCCAUCCAAAGCACCUGGGUCCACCCCCAAUGACGUCAGAGGGGCCAACCUCCACGAGAACGACAGGCUGUCGUCUGUAGCAGCCGAGCUGCAGUUCAAGUCUCUGAGCCGACACUCCAGUCCCACUGAUGACAGGGAAGAACCCUCCUAUCCUAAGGGAGGAGACCCCGGCAGCACGGCCAGGAGAAGCUGGGAGCUCCGCACCUUCAUCAGCCAAUCAAAAGACACGGCAGCCAGACAGAGCCCCAUGGAAGCUGUACGUCGCUCCAUACGCUCCUUCGAGGACAAACGCUACGCAGUCAUGAAGCAGAGGAACAUCAUUGGCCAGGUGUGCCACACCCCCAAGUCCUACGACAACGUCAUGCACGUCGGCCUCCGCAAGGUCACCUUCAAGUGGCAGAGGGGCAACAAGAUAGGUGAGGGCCAGUAUGGCAAGGUGUACACCUGCAUCAAUGUGGACACUGGAGAACUCAUGGCUAUGAAGGAGAUCCGGUUCCAGCCGAAUGACCAUAAGACGAUAAAGGAGACAGCAGAUGAGUUGAAGAUCUUUGAGGGCAUCAAACACCCCAACCUGGUCCGCUACUUUGGUGUUGAGCUGCAUCGGUUUGGAUGAAAAAACAAGGAAUUGCUGUGGACUCAACAUAUAGAAAUGAGAAGCAGGCCAAAGAGUUUAUGCACCAUAUUGCAGAGGUGGAGAGAAACAGCAUCAGAGAGAAUAUGAAAAACACUACAUUUCUCUCCGUCAUUUCAGAUGGCUCCACAGACAGUUCUGUGAAAAAGGAGUUAGUUUGUCAGAUUCUGUCAUAAGGGCAAGAUCGAGUCAAAGUUUGUUGGCAUCAAGUCGGUGAAGAAGGCAGUAAGCAACGCCGUCAGUGCCAUCAUGGAGGGAGUGUGUGAUGAGUGGGGGGAGCAAGUUAUUCACUCUGGGAACAGAUGGAGCUGCUGUGAUGACCGGAGCCAAGAAUGGUGUGGUCAGCCGGCUGAAGGAGGAACAGGGCCUACAUCAUCGGCAUCCACUGUAUGGCACACCGCCUUCAACUGACCUUUUCUGAUGCCAUCCGGUCCAACGGGAUGUUUCAGAAAGUAGAAGACCUCCUCAGUGGGCUCUACACCAAAACCUGGUAAACAGCUUCCAGGCUCUUGGGCACACACCACUGGUGCCCACCAGAAUUGGCGGGACCCGAUGGGUAGGACACCUAUUGCGUGCACUGGACCAUGUACUACGAGGUUACCAGGGGCGUGUCCAGCACAUGAAACAGAUUCAAUCUGCUGAUGCCCAAAAUGUCUGAGGUGUCCAGCAGGCCAAGGCCAGGAAAUACUACAGUACUGCAAGGGAGGCUGUUAUCCGCUUCUGUGGCUUCCUGCAUGACACACUAACACAUCUGAGCAGCCUGUCUGCAGAGGUCCACCAUCACCAUAGCAGAAGCCCACAGCUCCUUGUGCUCAACACAGGCAGUACUUAAGAAGUACAAAACCAGAUUUUGGUGACACUGAACUGGAAACCCUGGUGGACCACUUCAAGCCUGUCCUGGAGACCUCUGGCAUCCAUGUUGAAAGGAUCCCUGACCAGUGGACUGUCCUGAAGGUGCUGAUGUACCAAGAGCCCCAGUCCCUGCAGAACAUGUCCUGGUUCCAUGUCAACAGCAGCCAUCAGCAGUCCUGCCCUGAUGUGCUGGCAUUGGUUGACCUGGUCCUGUCCUUCCCUGCCUCCACAGCUGAAUGUGAAAGAGUUUUUAAUACCAUGAAACAGAUGAAAACCGAUUGGCGGUCUAACCUAAAGUCUGAUACACUGUCAGAUCUCUUUAUGGUCCAGCUGUCCUCUCCAGAGAUCAGGGAGUAUGAUCCGAUAAAAGCUGUGAUGCUGUGGCACCAGGACUCUGUCAGGAGUAGGAGGACUUCAUAGACCGUGCAAAGAGGGUGAUUGCAGUAGAGAGUGAGGAGUCUGAGGAGGUUUAAGUUUAUUAAAAUGAUUAAGCAUCUGAUAGGGUUACAAAACAUUUAAAUGUACUGUUAUGUUUGAUCCUUAAGUACUUUUAAUAGCAAAUACUGAAGUAGAAUUUUGAAUUCAAGACUUAAGUUGUAUUCAGGCUGGGAAAUUAAAUCUAGCCACAGUCAAAAUUAACCAGCGUCUGAUAAGUCUCUAUUUGACCUGUAUUUUAUCAGGGUAUUUCUACUCAAAGUAAAGGAUUUGUAGACCUGUUUCCCCUUUGUAUCAGUUCUACUGCACUUCUCAUUGUAUCUUAUCAUUGUUGCCCUGUUUUGACUUAAACAUACUCUUAUUCAUUGUAUCUGAUAUGUUUGGUUUAUUUCAUUGGGUGCCCACUGUUUGGUGUUUUUUCACUCUGUACUGCACUUUUGGUCAACUACAGUUGUUUUUAAACGUGCUCUACAAAUAAACUGGUCAAUAUAUUAAAAUAAUUUUGUUUCAAA